rnacentral:lncRNA from 1 species
UUUUUUUUUUUUUUUGGUGUCUUUUCUAGGGCUGCAUUCAUGGCAUAUGGAGGUUCUCAGGCCAGGGGUCUAAUGGGAGCUCACGGCUACGCCGGAUUGUUAACCCCCUGAGUGAGGCCAGGGAUCGAACUCACAACCUCAUGAUUCCUAGUUGGGUUCAUUAACCACUGCACCACGACGGGAACUCCUGGAGUGGUUUAAGAGGUAGAGUUUUGAAUUUGAUUUCUAGGGUUUGGAUCCUAGUCCAAACAGUUUGGUUUGGUGAUACUGGGGAAGUUUUUUAGCCCUUCUUUGUCUCCCCUUUUUUUUUUUUUUUUUUGUCUUCUUGCCUUUUCUAGGGCCACUCCUGUGACAUAUGGAGGUUCCCAGGCUAGGGAUGGAAUUGGAUCUGUAGCUGCCGGCCUAUGCCAGAGCCACAGCAAUGUGGAAUCUGAGCCGCAUCGGCAACCUACACCACAGCUCACAGCCAUGCCGGAUCCUUAAUCCACUGAGUAAGGCCAGGGAUCAAACCCUCAACCUCAUGAUUCCCAGGCAGAUUCGUUCACCACUGCACCAUGACGGGAACUCCUCUUUAUUUUAUUUGUAAAGUGGAAAUGUUGAUACUAUACCUAUAUCUUUAGACUCUGGCAAGGAUUAAAUGAAUCAUUUGUAAUUCUGCUGGACCUCUAUUAAGCCCUAAAUACAUGAUUGCCAAAUAGAGUCUAUGUAAUUUUAACACAAGCUAUUUCAUAUUUGUUAUCAUAAUCUGUUUCUAAAAAGUACAAUUAGUUGGGAGUCUGUUGAGUAAUUAGUAAAACAUUGUAUGGCAGAUGGAUUGUCUUGUGAUCAACACAUUCCAUGAUUUUAUCCAGGUAAGCUGUUAGCUCAGCGGUUGCCUCUUUUUGAGAUCCACAGAUGACUUGCCUUCUUAUUUUUCCAAUAAGUAAUUUUAAGCACUUAUGUCCUAGGCAAAGUCCUGUCCUCAUGGAUUUUAAAAUGCUUAUGUAGGUAGAGAAAUUAAAAUAUAAGUAAAUAAAUAAAUGUAUAAUAACAGGAUUUUCUAUGUGAUGUAGAAGAAUAAUAAUGAAUUAUUAACAAACAAUAAAUUUUCUCUGUAGAAAUCUAUUCCCCAAAUUUUAAACUUAUAUUUAAAAUGUUUGCAUAUGUAUGCAUAUAUCAGCUAUUUGUAAUAAUUUCCUUUUUUCUAUUUCUAUAGUAAAUGUAAGCAUAAGUCAAUGAUCAAGAAUGGCAUGUCUUUGUUAAUACCAAUAAAAUUAAAGAAAACUGCUAACUGGAAUAUUUAUGAAUAUAAUACUGAUUCCAAGCAAGAUCGAAUACUGGCAUAGGCCCCACUACUAUUGUAAUAGAGUAUAAAGAUCUCUAUAAGAUGAGAAAGUGUGUUGUUUCCAACUAUGGACAAAAACAAGCAUAUUUUUCUCAUGAUUCGUACGUUAACUCUUGAAGUUGCUCUGCAAUCUUUUACCUGCACUAACUUCACCAGCAACCCCUUGUGCAGCUACUCACCUCACUUUCUUUGGAGCUAAGGCCUAAGAUUUUCACUUCUAAUAGAAGUGCGUCAGCAACCUUGUGUUUAUUGCCAGAGGAAAAGGGAGAAGGUGGAUGAGAUGAUAACACUGUGAGACAUAACCAAGUUUCUCAUGAAGUUAGAACUUAAAAUAGCUUCAUUUGCUUGAAUAGUUUUAAGUAGUAAUUGGGUUCUGGAUACCCAUGGUACCAAGACAAGGUGAAGGAGAAAGGAGCAAAGAAAAAAGAUAAAGAUACUAAGGAGAUUCGUUUUUAUUAUUUCUGAUGAAUAAAUAAAAUUUGCUCAUGUUGAUUUCUGUUGUUCCACUGAGAAAACCACACCAGAGUAGAAAUUUUUGUUUAAAUUUUAAUCUUAUACCUUUUCUCAUAUAGAGUUUUAAAUGUUAAUAAUUUUUCAAAAUUCAAAUACCCCUAAUUUUGGAAGCACCUGUUAGAAGUGUGGCUAUCUGAACAAAAUAAGAGACAUUUUGUUUACAAAUUGGAAUUGGAAUUUAUUGCUUCUAAUAUUGUUUGGGUCCAUCUUUUUUCAGCACGUUUCCUUAGAAAUACUUGAAGGCACUUCUGUGUAAAACAAGAGAAGAACUGGGUGAUCUCAAAGUGAGUGAGUAUAAAAAAAUGUACCACAUAUUGUGGCUCUGUGAUUAGCUAUUAUUAAUCACUUGGUUAUUUCAUGGUUAGUAUACAUAUUUGCCCUAGUCUUAAUGCAGAUUAUGUAUUUUUUUUAAAUAGUGAUUCAGUUACUAUUUACUGUUUUCUAGUUUUAUGUUUCUGGUUUUCAUUUUGUUUUAUAUUGGAUGCUUUCAUGCUAAUCAGGCUAUUUCUCAGUUCAGAACCAUUAAGAUCAAUUUGCAGUCUUCUCAGACUCUCUGUUUUCAGUCACCCUAAAACUAACUCAUAUGCUUUAUUUCUUGGCAGAACACAAGUAUAUUUAUAUAAAGCCUAGUUUAUCUUAUUGAUUGUGCAAAUAUAUACAGUGGUAAUAUCUUCUGAUAUGUGACCUUUGUGUGGAAACCUUUUGGAUAUAAAUCCUUAAUUAGUAUUAGGAAAAGUUGUUUAGAACAUGGCAUUUUUUAGGUUGAAUCCUACCAGAAGUCUUUCCUUUAAUUAUCUUCUCUCCUGAAGAGGAUCCAUUAGGCUUGUGCUUCUUAUAAGCAAUACUGGCUCACCUGAGCUUUGCUCUCUACCAGGAUCGUGGUGGUUCUAUUAGCAACUGUGUUAAAUUAUCAUUCAUGUAUGAAUGUUCUUGCUCAAUAAAAAUUAAUGGGAGAGGUAUCUGAGAGUGAGAGCUAGAUAUAAAUUAACCAUCUAAGGCCAGAGAACUGAGCAAAGAAUUGACGCUAAAGAGCACUGUGAAUGAAAUUAAAGUCUUCAUUAAUAGUUGACCUGAUCAUGACUUGGCAACUUCAGAUGUUUUCUUCUCAAACAUAAGAAUAAGAAGGUUUUUACCAAAUGACAUGUAUUUUUAAUAGUAUUU